AAGUCGUAACAAGGUUUCCGUAGGUGAACCUGCGGAAGGAUCAUUACUGAGUUCAUGCCCUUACGGGUAGAUCUCCACCCUUGAAUACAAACUCUUGUUGCUUUGGCGGGCCGCUUCGGCUACUGGCUUCGGCUGGUGAGUGUCCGCCAGAGAACCCUAAACUUUGAAUUAUAGUGUCGUCUGAGUACUAUAUAAUAGUUAAAACUUUCAACAACGGAUCUCUUGGUUCUG
rnacentral:misc_RNA from 1 species